rnacentral:rRNA from 1 species
AGACCCGAAACCCGGUGAUCUAGCCAUGGGCAGGUUGAAGGUUGGGUAACACUAACUGGAGGACCGAACCGACUAAUGUUGAAAAAUUAGCGGAUGACCUGUGGCUGGGGGUGAAAGGCCAAUCAAACCGGGAGAUAGCUGGUUCUCCCCGAAAGCUAUUUAGGUAGCGCCUCGUGAAUUCAUCUCCGGGGGUAGAGCACUGUUUCGGCUAGGGGGCCAUCCCGGCUUACCAACCCGAUGCAAACUGCGAAUACCGGAGAAUGUUAUCACGGGAGACACACGGCGGGUGCUAACGUCCGUCGUGAAGAGGGAAACAACCCAGACCGCCAGCUAAGGUCCCAAAGUCAUGGUUAAGUGGGAAACGAUGUGGGAAGGCCCAGACAGCCAGGAUGUUGGCUUAGAAGCAGCCAUCAUUUAAAGAAAGCGUAAUAGCUCACUGGUCGAGUCGGCCUGCGCGGAAGAUGUAACGGGGCUAAACCAUGCACCGAAGCUGCGGCAGCGACACUCAGGUGUUGUUGGGUAGGGGAGCGUUCUGUAAGCCUGCGAAGGUGGCCUGUGAGGGUUGCUGGAGGUAUCAGAAGUGCGAAUGCUGACAUAAGUAACGAUAAAGCGGGUGAAAAGCCCGCUCGCCGGAAGACCAAGGGUUCCUGUCCAACGUUAAUCGG